rnacentral:tRNA from 1 species
AUUCGUAUAGUUUAAAGUUAAAACACUUCAUUUUCAAUGAAAAAAUGAACAUUCAGUUCUAUGAAUA